rnacentral:rRNA from 1 species
AUUGAACGCUGGCGGCAUGCCUUACACAUGCAAGUCGAACGGUAACGGGUCCUUCGGGAUGCCGACGAGUGGCGAACGGGUGAGUAACACGUGGGCAACCUGCCCCAGACUUCGGGAUAACGCUUCGAAAGAGGUGCUAAUACCGGAUACGAACUCCUUGGGCAUCCUUGGGGUUGGAAAGUUUUUCGGUCUGGGAUGGGCCCGCGGCCUAUCAGCUUGUUGGUGAGGUAACGGCUCACCAAGGCGACGACGGGUAGCCGGCCUGAGAGGGCGACCGGCCAGACUGGGACCGAGACACGGCCCAGACUCCUACGGGAGGCAGCAGUGGGGAAUAUUGCUCAAUGGGCGAAAGCCUGACGCAGCAACGCCGCGUGAGGGAUGACGGCCUUCGGGUUGUAAACCUCUUUCAGCAGGGAAGAAGCGAAAGUGACGGUACCUGCAGAAGAAGCACCGGCUAACUACGUGCCAGCCGCCGCGGUAA